rnacentral:rRNA from 1 species
GCCAGACUCCUACGGGAGGCAGCAGUGGGGAAUAUUGGGCAAUGGGCGCAAGCCUGACCCAGCAACGCCGCGUGAAGGAAGAAGGCUUUCGGGUUGUAAACUUCUUUUAAGAGGGAAGAGCAGAAGACGGUACCUCUUGAAUAAGCCACGGCUAACUACGUGCCAGCAGCCGCGGUAAUACGUAGGGAGCGAGCGUUGUCCGGAAUUACUGGGUGUAAAGGGAGCGUAGGCGGGAUUGCAAGUUGGAUGUGAAAACUGCGGGCUCAACCCGGAGCGUGCAUUCAAAACUGCGAUUCUUGAGUGGAGUAGAGGCAAGCGGAAUUCCUAGUGUAGCGGUGAAAUGCGUAGAUAUUAGGAGGAACACCAGUGGCGAAGGCGGCUUGCUGGGCUUUUACUGACGCUGAGGCUCGAAAGUGUGGGGAGCAAACAGGAUUAGAUACCCCCGUA